rnacentral:rRNA from 1 species
CGAGCGGUUUGGUCCUUACGGGCGAAGCGUAGCGGCGGACGGGUGGAGUAACACGUAGGCGAACCUCGCCCACUGGGACCGGGACGUAACGUACGGGGAAACCGAUGCUAAUACCGGAUAGCUGAUUCUCUUGCAUAAGGGAAGUCUGGAAAGACGGCGUAAGCUGUCACCGAUGGAUGGGCCUGCGGCGCAUUAGCUAGUUGGUGGGGUAACGGGCUCACCAAGGCGACGAUGCGUAGCCGACCUGAGAGGGUGAUCGGCCACACUGGGACUGAGACACGGCCCAGACUCCUACGGGAGGCAGCAGUAGGGAAUCUUCGGCAAUGGGCGAAAGCCUGACCGAGCAACGCCGCGUGAGUGAUGAAGGCUUUCGGGUCGUAAAACUCUGUUGCCAGAGAAGAACGUCCAGGAGAGUAACUGCUCUUGGAGUGACGGUAUCUGAGAAGAAAGCCCCGGCUAACUACGUG